GAUGAAGAACGCAGCGAAAUGCGAAAAGUAAUGUGAAUUGCAGAAUUCAGUGAAUCAUCGAAUCUUUGAACGCACAUUGCGCCCGCUGGUACUCCGGCGGGCACGCCUGUCCGAGCGUCAUUUCUACCCUCAAGCCCUCCUUCGGGAUGGGCCUGGUGUUGGGGCUCGGCCGCCAUCUCCGGCGGCCGUCCCCUAAAUACAGUGGCGGUCACGUCGCGACUCCUUUGCGUAGUAGAAACACCUCGCUCCGGAUAGCAACGCGGUCCACGCCGUAAAACCCCCAAUUUUCAAUGGUUGACCUCGGAUCAGGUGGGAAUACCCGCUGAACUUAAGCAUAUCAAUAAGCGGAGGA
rnacentral:misc_RNA from 1 species